UACGUAGGGCGCAAGCGUUAUCCGGAAUUAUUGGGCGUAAAGAGCUCGUAGGCGGUUUGUCGCGUCUGCCGUGAAAGUCCGGGGCUCAACUCCGGAUCUGCGGUGGGUACGGGCAGACUAGAGUGAUGUAGGGGAGACUGGAAUUCCUGGUGUAGCGGUGAAAUGCGCAGAUAUCAGGAGGAACACCGAUGGGCGAAGGCAGGUCUCUGGGCCACUACUGACGCUGAGAAGCGAAAGCAUGGGGAGCGAACAGG
rnacentral:rRNA from 1 species